AGCCAUGGUAUGGGCACUGAUUCAACAGAUCCUAGAAUCUUUCCUAGACUUGAUAGAACGUUUCAUUGUCAUUUUCAGAAAAUAUGGAAAUCUAUCAUUUUAGACU